AAAAAGAUAAGCUAAAUAAGCUAUUGGGUUCAUACCUCAAUUAUAAAGGUAUUAGACCUUUUCUUUUUA
rnacentral:tRNA from 1 species